AAGUCGUAACAAGGUCUCCGUUGGUGAACCAGCGGAGGGAUCAUUACCGAGUUUUCAACUCCCAAACCCUAUGUGAACCAUACCUAUCGUUGCUUCGGCGGGACCGCCCCGGGCCUAGCGCCCGGAACCAGGCGCCCGCCGGGGGACCCAAACUCUUGUGUUUUAUAGUGGCAUCUUCUGAGUGGCUAUAAGCAAAAAUAAAUCAAAACUUUCAACAACGGAUCUCUUGGUUCUG
rnacentral:misc_RNA from 1 species